AAGACUAAUCUAUUAUUCCACACGGAUCUUGUGUAGAAAUAGUGAUUUGGCCCUGCAUUGUUGACUUUGUAUUUUUUUAAUGUACAUGUUCUUUUUCCCUUAGUGGACUCCUUAAUUUAUUUGGAAAUUCUUCGAGAUGGAUUAGAAUAUGAAAGAUGACUUGUGGAGCUUUAGAAAGACUGAUUGAAAAGAAAAAAGAUCCUUUUCUAAGAAAGGUUACAUAUAAUAUAUAAUUAAAGACGGUAUAAUCAUUCCAUAAUUACAGAGGUCGAAACAAAUGUGUUGAGAUAGAAUCUCAAACUCGAAUCUGAAAAGUUUAAAUCUUGGAUCCACCUUUGCUCGAUAGUGUUUUUGUGAAUGCUACAUCAAAUAGCAGACUUGUUUCUUCACUGAUCAAGGAGAAGAUUUGUAGUUAGUGAGCUUUUUAAUUACACAAGACUGGCUCAUGCUAUUUGAACUUGAACCAGUCAACAAUUUUCGUUGAGUCGAAGGUCUAUCAGAA
rnacentral:misc_RNA from 1 species